rnacentral:snRNA from 1 species
GUGCUUGCUUUGGCAGCACAUAUACUGAAAUUGGAAUGAUACAGAGAAGAUUAGCAUGGCCCCUGUGAAAGGAUGACAUGCAAAUUUGUGAAGCGUUCCAUAUUUUU